CAGUCGCCGCGGUAACACGGAGGGGGCUAGCGUUGUUCGGAAUUACUGGGCGUAAAGCGCACGUAGGCGGCUUUGUAAGUUAGAGGUGAAAGCCUGGAGCUCAACUCCAGAAUUGCCUUUAAGACUGCAUCGCUUGAAUCGCGGAGAGGUGAGUGGAAUUCCGAGUGUAGAGGUGAAAUUCGUAGAUAUUCGGAGGAACACCAGUGGCGAAGGCGGCUCACUGGUCCAUUACUGACGCUGAGGUGCGAAAGCGCGGGGAGCAAGCAGGAUUAGAUACCCCUGUAGUCCCUGUCUCUUAUAC
rnacentral:rRNA from 1 species